AUAUAUAUAUAUAUAUAUAUAUAUAUAUAUAUAAAGUUAGAUAAGGCCGAUUUAUGGGAUUACCCUGGGUUUCACAUCUAUAAAGCUCUUAGCUUUACAGCUUAUCAUCAGAUCCCAAACCUGUUGGCUUAUGGCCUCUCUAGAAAAUGGAGGAGGAAAAGACUUUAUUACUCUAUGU